rnacentral:rRNA from 1 species
GACGAACGCUGGCGGCGUGCUUAACACAUGCAAGUCGAACGGAAAGGCCCUGCUUGCCGGGUACUCGAGUGGCGAACGGGUGAGUAACACGUGGGUGAUCUGCCCUGCACUUCGGGAUAAGCCUGGGAAACUGGGUCUAAUACCGGAUAGGAGCCAUUUUUAGUGUGAUGGUUGGAAAGUUUUUUCGGUGUAGGAUGAGCUCGCGGCCUAUCAGCUUGUUGGUGGGGUAAUGGCCUACCAAGGCGGCGACGGGUAGCCGGCCUGAGAGGGUGGACGGCCACAUUGGGACUGAGAUACGGCCCAGACUCCUACGGGAGGCAGCAGUGGGGAAUAUUGCACAAGGGGCGCAAGCCUGAUGCAGCGACGCCGCGUGGGGGAUGACGGCCUUCGGGUUGUAAACGCCUUUCGCUAGGGACGAAGCUUUUUGUGACGGUACCUAGAUAAGAAGCACCGGCUAACUACGUG